UUCUUGGAGCAGCUGCAAAUUCACAGAAAGUUAAAGCAAAGGCUGAAGGCUUCAGUUCCAGCCAUUAUCCUUAAUCAUGUGAGAUAAUUCAAUAA